rnacentral:rRNA from 1 species
AUGUCGUUGUUGGUUUCACCAACAAUUCACAACCUUAAGGUGACAAAGAUGUUAGUUGACGAUGGGGCCGGCUUGAACUUGAUCUCGCCUGACAUGAUCAAGAGGCUGCAAAUACCUAAUGAAGAUCUCGAGCAGACACGCAUGUUUCAAGGGAUCAAUCCGGGAAGGAGUCAACCCAAGGGGAAGAUAACAUUGUCGGUAACGUUUGACAGUGAACUGAACUAUAGGACGGAGAAAAUUGUCUUCGACGUCGUCAAAAUUCCAUUGCCAUACAAUGGAAUUCUUGGUUGCCCGGCGCUGGCAAACUCAUGGCGGCGUCCCAUUACGCCUACAACACACACUCAAGAUGCCAGGGUCGAUGAGUGUCAUCACCAUCCAUUCCGACAAGAAAGACGCAGUCAUCUGCGCCGACAAACUUUACCGGGAAGCAGUUGCAGCAUCUGCCGCCAAGGUACUUGCUCCUGCCGGCAAAGUUCCCGGGGUGGAGAAGAAGACCGGCAAGACCUCUGA